rnacentral:lncRNA from 1 species
AUCAAUUAUCAUCCAUAAUUAAAGUUGUUCUAAGUAAUAAUCUUUUUUGCUUCUUUUAAUAUCUUUCACGCUCAAUCUUUAAUUUUAGGCUAACAUUUUUGACUUUCUACUAAAGUUUCUUCUUCUUUUAUUUAUUUUUUGUGCAGAAAAGAGGAUUGUGCUUCUUUUCAAGCUGCUUGCUUCCUACUUGUGUAUUGUGAAGCUUGUUGGAUUAUGGGUACAUAUAUAUAUAUAUAUGGAGAGAUAUGAGAAGAAUAUAUAUAUGUAAUUAUACCUUCUUCUUUUUUGGGUACUUAAUAUUAGGAUAUUCUCGGAUCAGUUUACACGAAUCAUCCGAUUGGAUUCCAAUGGAAUGUGGAGAAUAUUGUUGAAUAUUAUUACUAUUAGUUUCUAAUUACUGAAGGGUUUAUUUUUAUUUUCUUGAAUUUGCUUCUCUAUUUUGGCAUUGGAGAAAAUGGAAAUUAUAUAUAUUUAUAUAUUGAUAUGGAGCUGUGAAUAUUCUUCCCCUUUCUAUGAGAAAAGAAAAGGCAAAAGAAAAAGAAAAAGAAAAAGAGUAUUUUCUAUGAAUUUGCAUUGCAUCAUCUUCUCUUCUCUCUUUUGUUUUUUUUUUUGUCAAAGUCAUGAUAUCGUUUCAUAAAACUAACCUUUCAAGCUCCAUAUUAGACCACUCUACUUGUUUUUGAAGGUACAUAAUACAUUAAUGAACUGACUGAUUGAGACGUGUUUAACUGUGUAAUGUUUAGAUCACGUGAAUCUCUUUAUUGUAAGAAACUUUGUUUGGUCUUAUUUCAUGUUUUAGAGUUUGACAAGUUUGAAAUACUUACCAAUAUUAUUGGAAAAAGUUUAAAAUGGAAAGAAAGAAAAGAUUUGUAUAAAGCAAAAUCUAAUUGACUUAUUUAUAUCUUUUUUUUUUCUUUUUAUGCAUUGAGAAUUGCCAAAGAUGAAAUAAAAUAAGAUGUCAAAGUUUAAACGUUUGGGUUGAUAGAUGUUAGGUAAGUGACAAUUUGUGAAUAUUUUUCAAUUUUAUUAUUUGACGGAUGAAAAUUUAAUAUAUUGCAUGAAUUUUAAAUACUAUAUCAUUUUAACAAAUAAAAAAUCUUAUUUUUUUUAUUUCAAAUUCAUAAGUUUAAACAUUAAAAAUAUGGUAAAAGUCCAUAAAUUUUAACAAAUUGCAUAAAAAUCUCAUCUAAAUGUUAGAUAAUUUGUUUUUGUAAAAUAAGUUACCAUUGAUUUUUUUUUUUUUUUUUAUGGCUAUGAGCAGGCCAACACCUAAGCCUGUUGAUGAGGACUUGUACAAAAUCCCACCAGAGCUUCUUUAUCAAAAACCCAAAAAGGUAGGCCUUAACUUAGCUUUAGCUUAAAGCUUUAACCUUUAAUCACUAAAUUAUAAUCAAUUAUCAUCCAUAAUUAAAGUUGUUCUAAGUAAUAAUCUUUUUUGCUUCUUUUAAUAUCUUUCACGCUCAAUCUUUAAUUUUAGGCUAACAUUUUUGACUUUCUACUAAAGUUUCUUCUUCUUUUAUUUAUUUUUUGUGCAGAAAAGAGGAUUGUGCUUCUUUUCAAGCUGCUUGCUUCCUACUUGUGUAUUGUGAAGCUUGUUGGAUUAUGGGUACAUAUAUAUAUAUAUAUGGAGAGAUAUGAGAAGAAUAUAUAUAUGUAAUUAUACCUUCUUCUUUUUUGGGUACUUAAUAUUAGGAUAUUCUCGGAUCAGUUUACACGAAUCAUCCGAUUGGAUUCCAAUGGAAUGUGGAGAAUAUUGUUGAAUAUUAUUACUAUUAGUUUCUAAUUACUGAAGGGUUUAUUUUUA